rnacentral:rRNA from 1 species
AUUGAACGCUGGCGGCAGGCCUAACACAUGCAAGUCGAGCGAGCGGCGGAAGGGUGAGUAAUGUAUGGGGACUGCCCGAUAGAGGGGGAUAACUACUGGAGACGGUAGCUAAUACCGCAUACUAUCGGAUAACCCAUAUGGGAUUAGGUAGUAGGUAAGGUAAUGGCUCACCUAGGAGACGAUCCCUAGCUGGUAUGAGAGGAUGAUCAGCCACACUGGGAUUGAGACACGGCCCAGACCCCGACGGAGGCAGCAGUGGGGAAGAUUGGCCAAUGGGCGCAAGUCUGAUGCAGCCAUGCCGCGUGCAUGAAGAAGGCCCUAGGGUUGUAAAUUACUUUCAGUCGGGAGGCGUUACCGACAGAAGAAGCACCGGCUAACUCCGUGCCAGCAGCCGCGGUAAUAC